AGUGCUGAGACAGAGGACUUCAGGAGUGAGCACAGAGCAGAAGGGAAGGAGCUGGAAGUAGGGUUCAGAGCCCUGAGCUUUUAUCUUAGUCUUCCCUACCAA